ensembl:lncRNA novel transcript
ACUCCUAUUGACCCCCUGGCAUAUUUAUAGCCUCUCUCUUUCUGCUGAGACUGGUAGUUUUCACCUUCCCUUCCCUGUGUUGUGUUUAUUCAGCAGCACGCUAAAUCACACCCGGGCACAAGUGGAGCAUUCAUCAGGAACCACGAGCCCCUCUUUCAGUCUGCCAAACCUAUCCAAUUACUGGGGCUGGAAGAGCCUGCACAAACCCUUCUGCCAGGCAAAUGAACCUUCUUGCUGUGAUUCAUAAACAUGGCUGUACCUCUAAAUAGACUGGGACUUCCUUUUGUUAAGAAGCCAAAUAAGAUAUCAUUUACAUCAAAAAUGAAAAAAUAAGGGGGCAUCUACUUUCUAUAAUAACGACCUGGGAAACUCAGACCAUCCUUCCUUCUGAGGACGCUGAAAAAAACUGAAUCCAAGAACUAACAACAUAUUAAGGAACUGCCAGGUGGUGACCCAGCAUGCUAAGAACACAGCAAGGAAUUCGAAGUUGUUUUAACAUUAGAAAAUCAACUGAUGUGAUUCAGCACAUUUACUGAAUAUUAUGAUGACCUGGGCAGAGUCAGAAAAGACAACUGACAAAAUUCAGAUCCUGUUGAGAUAAAUAUUAGCAAACAACCUAGAAAAUCAAGCAUUAUAUUUAAUGGUGAAACAUUAAACAUUUCCUUCUGAGACUUGGAAUGGACAAGGAUGACAUCAUUACUUCUAUUCAACGUUGUACUGAAGGCCCCAGACACUACAGUAAGACAAAAACAGAAUGGAAGAUAAAAGGAUUGGAAAGAAAGAAACCAAACUGUCAUAACUCACAGAUCAGGUAGUGGCUAUAUGCAUACUGGCUUUGUAAUCGUUGCUUAAGCCGUAUUUGUGCUGUGCAUUUUUUAUUAACUCCUAUGCAUCGCCAGGACCCUGAAGGUGUCAUACUCUUCCUGACAGGACCUACCAGCUUGACGGAGAGCUCUAUCCCCAUUUCCUAAAGAAGAAACCUGAUCCUUGGAAAUGUUCAGUGGCUGCCCCAAGAUGUCGGCACAACCUCUUGUGCUCUUGCCUCCUGCCACAAGAACAUAUGUCCCAGAAAAGGGCCACUCCAUCAGCCUAGGUCCAGAAAUGAGAGGACACAUGGACUGAACUUGAAGAUGGCCCACAGCAGACCUGCAGUCAACUCUCAGCCUUUAUGUAAUGCGGGAAAGAAGGAAAUGUGAAUAUUAUAGACUACUAAAAUUCUAAAGUUGUAACAUAGCAAAAUGAUCGAUACAAUUAGCAGUGGCAAUCAGUCUAGCAUAUUGUCAUGCUAUAUGCAUGCUAUAAAACUAUUGAACAAAAAUAUCACUAUCCUAUCAUGGACACAUUGGACUUUUCUUUUCUCCUUAUGACUGCAUCACGUGUGAUGAUCAGAAAUGGAGUGAAGACAGAAAAAUAAGAAAAUUCAAGAAUGUGCUACAGAGUGAUCCUCUCCCUCUUAGAGCACCCACAGAAACCACUCAUGGCUUCUCUGUCUGCAUCCUCUCCACACAAACAUAUUCUUUAAGGUACCAGCCCCAUAUCACAUACCUGUAUGUCAGCCCAUAAUAGGCCUUACCUUAGAAGCCAAAGAUCCAUAACUACACAGUAUUCAUGUUGUAUAAUGUGGAGCAGCACCAAAAAAUAAAGUGGCAGACAAUAAUGCCUAUGACUAAA